ACAACCGUGCACACCGAGGUUAAACUUUACCGGGUCCACUCCGACUCGCCGGCCGCCCACUACUCCGAAGGCAACAAAACAUUCCGCGGCAUCAUUGCUACUCUCGAGAUUGUCAUCCUCGACUUGCUUGUGCAUUGGGCUCGCACUGUGCACACACAAGCAAUGUCUAGACAAUCCUAAUCAUAGCUCAACCGCCCACACGAAGAGAAUUGGCUUAGCUUUUUCAAAAGCCAACCCGCCCCCAACGUGUUCGUGUGGCCGACAAUUCGCUAGCUUCUUCAUGAACUCCGCAGAAAGCCGUCCUCGACGUACCCGUGCAUUGAGAAGGUUUGGUGGCCGUACUCCCAACAAAAAAGCAUAACCGAAGACAACCCCGAGCUAAAUUCCACCCGAAGCCCGCCCAUCGUCACCACGCGUGUUCGUGUGCCCAACAAUUGGCCAGCUUCUUCAUCAACCCCGCCGAAAGCCAUCCCCCGACAUACCCGUGCAUUGAGAAGGUUUGGUGGUCGUACUCCCAACACAAAAGAAUAACCGAGGACAACCCCAAGCCAAAGUAAACUCGAAAGCCAACCCAUCGUCACCCACACUAGUCAGUGAAUGGUGUGCUUCCCCGGGUUGGAAUAGACAUUCCCUCGCAAGCAAAAGAUUGUCUAUGCAAGAAGAUUGUCUAUGCCAACCCCGGGAAGAACACCAUUCACCCACUCCCGCCCUGUGUGGUGUGGCGGUGAUUGGAUAGCUACGGAUUGAGCAAUUGCCAUGGAUCAAAAUGUGUCAUUUGGAAGGAUUUUUGUCAAAAAGUUUUAAAAUCUCGUGGGUUUGUAAAUCAUAGGAGCAUCACUUUCAACGUCCCCGGUAUUGGGUUGAGUUUCUAAAACCAACCGUGCACACCGAGGUUAAACUUUACCGGGUCCGCUCCAAAAACAUUUGUUUUUCAUUUUGAUGAAAAUUUCUGAUUUUAAAACGUUUUGGUUUGAAAUUGUUUUGAAAAGGUUCUUUAAAUCUUGUGGGUUUGCAACUCGUGGGAGCAUCACUUUCAACGUCCCCGGUAUUGGAUUGAGUUUCUAAAAACAACCGCGCACACCGAGGUUAAACUUUACCGGGUCCGCUCCGACUCGCCGCUCACCCACACUAUUCCGAAGGCAACGAAACAUUUGUUUUUAAUUUUGAUGAAAUUGUUUUGAAAAAUUUGGCUAGGCAAUCCCAAUCCGCGACUAUCCACUCACCGCCACCCCACACGGGUGGUUGUUAGUUGCGAAAUGAGGUUGUGGUCGACAUGCCGGUGCAUUUGAGAAGGAGUUCCUAGCAACUCCGUGCUCCCCCAUGCAAAAAAAAAAAGCCUAGACAACCCCAUUUCGCAACUUUCCACGCCUUUUUUUUUUUUCCCCACCUCACCCAUGGCGGCGGCGUGGUGGCGGCCGGAUUUCCGCCACCACCGCCAUGGGUGGCAGCCCCCCCCCCCGACACAAACCCAUAAUACCGAGGCAUCAUAUCGAGGCAACAUGACAUGGGUGUGGCGUGGGGGAAGGGGGCUGCAGCUAGGAAGGCAUGGGCUGCCAUGCAUAUGCAGGCAACACAC
rnacentral:lncRNA from 1 species